UUCCAGAUGAGAAAACUGAGGCAAACAAGAUGGAAUCCCAGAAUUCCAGGGCUCCAAAAGGGACCUCAGGGGACAUUGACUCCAUCCCUGGCAGAACAGAAACCCCUUCUUGAUCAUCCCGUGAACAAUGCCAUCUCCACCUUGGUCUUGACUCCUUCCUUUGGAAUGUUCCAACAGACGAGAGGGAUGCUGAUGUUCUAGGCAGAGAAUUGUGGUUUCAGGUGGGAAGGGAAUGGCUGAGAGAGAUGAAUCAGAGGAGCAGCUGGGCUUAUGUUCCUGUCUGGACCAGUGACAUCAAAGCCUGAGUAACCCAGAGCACAUGCUUUUCUUCUUCAUGGGCCUCCCUGGGAGGUUUCUGUGUAUGCCCACUCUCCCUCCCCCCAGACAUAGAGCCAUUGGUGGGAGAAGGUGACUUAAACCCAUGGGAGCUGAUGAAGUCAACAAAUGAGACUCAAGGCAGAGUCUUGGGGAAUGCUCAUAGACAGGGGAUAUAAUACAGAUGAUGAGGUAGCAAAGGCAUGGUCAGAUAGGUUGGUGUGUAGGAAUAAAGGUCCAAGCUCUGCACUCAGCACCCAAGGACUGUAAAAGACCUCUGGUACCUCCUCUGGAGGAUGUAUGGAAAGGUGAGGACAAUGCACCCUAGUGGUAAGGGCAUGGAGAAUUCAUGAUCUGCCCUGGUAUUGGGAGUGCCCAAACACACGAGGAAAUGGAUCCAUCUCACUUAUGAAGUGAGUCAUUUUCUUAGCUUCAUUCUCUUAGCUUUCCAGCCAUGCUUAUUGCAAACCUUGUUCAGCCCAUGAUUCCCUGCCCUCCUUCUGGACCUCCAUCCUA